rnacentral:rRNA from 1 species
CAAUAGCGUAUAUUUAAGUUGUUGCAGUUAAAAAGCUCGUAGCUGGAUUUCGGUUAAGAGCGACCGGUCCGCCGUUUGGUGUGCACUGGUUGGUUUUAACUUCCUGUAGAGGACGUGCUCUGGGUUUAACGACCUGGACUCGGAGUCUACGUGGUUACUUUGAAAAAAUUAGAGUGUUCAAAGCGGGCUUACGCUUGAAUAUUUCAGCAUGGAAUAACACUAUAGGACUCCUGUCCUAUUUCGUUGGUCUCGGGACGGGAGUAAUGAUUAAGAGGAACAGUUGGGGGCAUUCGUAUUUCAUUGUCAGAGGUGAAAUUCUUGGAUUUAUGAAAGACGAACUUCUGCGAAAGCAUUUGCCAAGGAUGUUUUCAUUAA